rnacentral:rRNA from 1 species
CCUACGGGACGCAGCAGUGAGGAAUAUUGGUCAAUGGUCGGGAGACUGAACCAGCCAAGCCGCGUGAGGGAUGAAGGUACAGAGUAUCGUAAACCUCUUUUGUCAGGGAGCAACGCCGGCUACGUGUAGCCGGACUGAGAGUACCUGAAGAAAAAGCAUCGGCUAACUCCGUGCCAGCAGCCGCGGUAAUACGGAGGAUGCGAGCGUUAUCCGGAUUUAUUGGGUUUAAAGGGUGCGCAGGCGGUCUGUUAAGUCAGCGGUCAAAGCCCGGGGCUCAACCCCGGCCCGCCGUUGAAACUGGCAGU